UACGUAGGGGGCAAGCGUUGUCCGGAAUUAUUGGGCGUAAAGCGCACGUAGGCGGCUUUCUAAGUCAGGGGUGAAAUCCUGGAGCUCAACUCCAGAACUGCCUUUGAUACUGGAGAGCUUGAGUCCGGAAGAGGUGAGUGGAACUCCGAGUGUAGAGGUGAAAUUCGUAGAUAUUCGGAAGAACACCAGUGGCGAAGGCGGCUCACUGGUCCGGUACUGACGCUGAGGUGCGAAAGCGUGGGGAGCAAACAGG
rnacentral:rRNA from 1 species